rnacentral:tRNA from 1 species
UGCCCUCUCGUUCAAUGGCAGGACGCCAGGCUUUGGACCUGGCUAUCGUGGUUCGAAUCCACGGGGGGCAA